AAGGACAGAGUCCAGGGCACAGCACUACACUACACCAGCACUUUAAAAUUGCAGGCCAAACUUUUGAGGCACAGAGAUGACGCAGCUUGGAUAUACUGCCAUUCUGGUAUUAUGGGCGUGCUCCACUGCAUUUGCUAUUUCAUGUGGUAACAUAGAAAAUGGGAGGGUAAAGCCAAGUUUCUUCUUCCAGAGAAGAAAAAGAACAUUUGAAUGUAAUGCCGGGUAUAUAGCAGAAAAUGACAACAACAGAAUUGAGUGUACUUCUUCAGGAUGGUCUCCUGUACCCAGAUGCAUUCCAAUACAAUGUGGAAGGAUAGAAAAUGGGAAAAUAGUGGACAAAGUUGAAGAAAAAACAACCUUUCGAUGUAAUCAU